UACGGAGGGUGCAAGCGUUGUUCGGAAUUACUGGGCGUAAAGGGCUCGUAGGUGGCCAUGUAAGUCGGGCGUGAAAUCCCUCAGCUCAACUGAGGAAGUGCGCCCGAAACUGCAGAGCUUGAGUACCGGAGAGGAUGGCGGAAUUCCCCAAGUAGAGGUGAAAUUCGUAGAUAUGGGGAGGAACACCGGUGGCGAAGGCGGCCAUCUGGACGGAUACUGACGCUGAGACGCGAAAGCGUGGGGAGCAAACAGG
rnacentral:rRNA from 1 species